UAGAGUUUGAUCAUGGCUCAGAUUGAACGCUGGCGGCGUGCUUAACACAUGCAAGUCGAGCGAGAAAGCUCUCUUCGGAGAGUGAGUAGAGCGGCGCACGGGUGAGUAACGCGUGGAUAAUCUGCCCUAAAGAUCGGGAUAACAGCUGGAAACGACUGCUAAUACCGAAUGUGCGACAUAUUUAACUUUAUGUUGGAAAGGUGGCCUCUAUUUAUAAGCUACUGCUUUAGGAUGAGUCCGCGUCUCAUUAGCUUGUUGGUGGGGUAAUGGCCUACCAAGGCAACGAUGAGUAGCUGGUCUGAGAGGAUGAUCAGCCACACUGGGACUGAAACACGGCCCAGACUCCUACGGGAGGCAGCAGUGGGGAAUAUUGCGCAAUGGGGGAAACCCUGACGCAGCGACGCCGCGUGUAGGAAGAAGGCUUUCGGGUCGUAAACUACUGUCAAGAGGGAAGAAACUGUUUGGUUAUAAUACGGCCAUUCACUGACGGUACCUCUAGAGGAAGCACCGGCUAACUCCGUGCCAGCAGCCGCGGUAAUACGGAGGGUGCGAGCGUUAAUCGGAAUCACUGGGCGUAAAGCGUGCGUAGGCGGCUUUGCAAGUCAGGCGUGAAAGCCCUCGGCUCAACCGAGGAAUUGCGUUUGAAACUGCUUAGCUAGAGUCUCGGAGAGGUUGGCGGAAUUCCAGGUGUAGGAGUGAAAUCCGUAGAUAUCUGGAGGAACACCGGUGGCGAAGGCGGCCAACUGGACGAGUACUGACGCUGAGGUACGAAAGC
rnacentral:rRNA from 1 species